rnacentral:rRNA from 1 species
UAAGGAAUAUUGCUCAAUGGGAGAAAUCCUGAAGCAGCAACGCCGCGUGGAGGAUGAAGGGUCUAUGACUUGUAAACUCCUGUAAAGAAGGAAUAAAUUCCCAUUUGAUGGGAGUUGAUGGUACUUCUGGAGUAAGACCCGGCUAACUACGUGCCAGCAGCCGCGGUAAUACGGAGGGUGCAAGCGUUAUCCGGAUUCACUGGGUUUAAAGGGGGCGUAGGUGGGUUGGUAAGUCAGUGGUGAAAUCUUCGAGCUUAAAUCGGAAACUGCCAUUGAGAAUAUCAGUCUUUAAUAUUGUAGAGGUUAGCGGAAUAUGUCAUUUAGCGGUGAAAUGCUUAGAUAUGACAUAGAACACCAAUUGCGAAGGCAGCUGGCUACACAUAUAUUGACACUGAGGCACGAAA